AUUGAACGCUGGCGGCAGGCUUAACACAUGCAAGUCGAGCGGGAAUAGGUAGCUUGCUACUGAAUUCUAGCGGCGGACGGGUGAGUAAAGCUUAGGAAUCUGCCAUUUAGUGGGGGACAACAUUCCGAAAGGGAUGCUAAUACCGCAUACGUCCUACGGGAGAAAGCAGGGGAUCUUCGGACCUUGCGCUAAAUGAUGAGCCUAAGUCGGAUUAGCUAGUUGGUGGGGUAAAGGCCUACCAAGGCGACGAUCUGUAGCGGGUCUGAGAGGAUGGUCCGCCACACUGGGACUGAGACACGGCCCAGACUCCUACGGGAGGCAGCAGUGGGGAAUAUUGGACAAUUGGGGGGACCCUGAUCCAGCCAUGCCGCGUGUGUGAAGAAGGCCUUUUGGUUGUAAAGCACUUUAAGCGAGGAGGAGGCUACCUGGAUUAAUACUCUAGGAUAGUGGACGUUACUCGCAGAAUAAGCACCGGCUAACUCUGUGCCAGCAGCCGCAGUAA
rnacentral:rRNA from 1 species